UUAUUUGAGAGUUUGAUCCUGGCUCAGGAUGAACGCUGGCGGCGUGCCUAACACAUGCAAGUCGAGCGCGACUGAUUUGAUGCUUGCAUUAAUGAAAGUUGAGCGGCGGACGGGUGAGUAACGCGUGGGUAACCUGCCCUAUACACAUGGAUAACAUACUGAAAAGUUUACUAAUACAUGAUAACGUAGUUUUUCGGCAUCGAAGAAUUAUCAAAGCGUUAGCGGUAUAGGAUGGACCCGCGUCUGAUUAGCUAGUUGGUGAGAUAACUGCCCACCAAGGCGACGAUCAGUAGCCGACCUGAGAGGGUGAUCGGCCACAUUGGAACUGAGACACGGUC
rnacentral:rRNA from 1 species